rnacentral:rRNA from 1 species
GACGAACGCUGGCGGCGUGCCUAAUACAUGCAAGUCGAGCGGACCAAACAGGAGCUUGCUCUUGUUUGGUUAGCGGCGGACGGGUGAGUAACACGUGGGUAACCUGCCCGUAAGACCGGGAUAACUCCGGGAAACCGGAGCUAAUACCGGAUAACACCGAAGACCGCAUGGUCUUUGGUUGAAAGGCGGCUUCGGCUGCCACUUACGGAUGGGCCCGCGGCGCAUUAGCUAGUUGGUGAGGUAACGGCUCACCAAGGCGACGAUGCGUAGCCGGCCUGAGAGGGUGACCGGCCACACUGGGACUGAGACACGGCCCAGACUCCUACGGGAGGCAGCAGAAGGGAAUCUUCCGCAAUGGACGAAAGUCUGACGGAGCGACGCCGCGUGAGCGAAGAAGGUCUUCGGAUCGUAAAGCUCUGUUGUUAGGGAAGAAGAAGCGCCGUUCGAACAGGGCGGCGCGGUGACGGUACCUAACGAGAAAGCCCCGGCUAACUACGUG